AGAAUCCUGCAGAUAUGUUGACGAAGGUCGUCACGGUGGAGAAGCUGAGGAGUUGUUCAGCUUCUGCUGGUCUUCAUGCUUGAAGACGUUGAGGAGGCAUCGUACCGAUUUCAUUAGGAUGAUCCAGUUUCGGUGGGAGCACAGAGGAGAACCAAGUAACAAGAGGACAUACCCAAGGUCUCCAAGUGGGAGAUUGUUGGGGUAUGUGGAGACCUUUGGUGAUGAAGAGAAUUGAAGGAGAAUCAAUUCUGCAUAGUUCCGUCUGGCGGACUGUCAGAGUCGACUCGGGCUACAGUCGAGUCGACUCGGGAACAGUCGAGUCGACUCGAGGUCUGUCGAGUCGACCCGAGAAGAGAAAAGCCGCAAAAACCAUGUUUCUGUUUGGACUNNNNNNNNNNNNNNNNNNNNAGGGGAGAACCAAGUAACAAGAGGAUAUACCCAAGGUCUCCAAGUGGGAGAUUGUUGGGGUAUGUGGAGACCUUUGGUGAUGAAGAGAAUUGAAGGAGAAUCAAUUCU
rnacentral:lncRNA from 1 species